ensembl:lncRNA
AUGACGAUUAAGCAGCCACCAGGUUCAGGUCUGUCUCCAGCUGUUCCAGGUUCAGGUCUGUCUCCAGCUGUUCCAGGUUCAGGUCUGUCUCCAGCUGUUCCAGGUUCAGGUCUGUCUCCAGCUGUUCCAGGUUCAGGUCUGUCUCCAGCUGUUCCAGGUUCAGGUCUGUCUCCAGCUGUUCCAGGUUCAGGUCUGUCUCCAGCUGUUCCAGGUUCAGGUCUGUCUCCAGCUGUUCCAGGUUCAGGUCUGUCUCCAGCUGUUCCAGGUUCAGGUCUGUCUCCAGCUGUUCCAGGUUCAGGUCUGUCUCCAGCUGUUCCAGGUUCAGGUCUGUCUCCAGCUGUUCCAGGUUCAGGUCUGUCUCCAGCUGUUCCAGGUUCAGGUCUGUCUCCAGCUGUUCCAGGUUCAGGUCUGUCUCCAGCUGUUCCAGGUUCAGGUCUGUCUCCAGCUGUUCCAGGUUCAGGUCUGUCUCCAGCUGUGGUAGCAGGGAUUGUUGUUGGUGUUCUGCUGGUGGCUGCAGCUGUUGUUGGUGUGAUUUACUAUCGCCGCAGGAGCUCCAGAAAUGCAGGCAGGAGGAACAAUGAAGAGGUUCUGCAAGAAGAUGAAGAAAGAUGCUCUCUAGGGUCCCCAGAAAUCUCAUCAUGA